CAACAACCUGUUGCCAUGUAUGGCGAUUUGUAUCAGUCACAAGCACACAACCCCUGCUAGUAUUAAUGGUGUUUAAGACGUUCUACAUGUACGGCGGACCGCAUCCGUCGCAAGCACGCGCAUAUAACCCCCAAAUGCCCCAUGAUGAGAAGCACAGCCACGCGUCAAAAAACUUUAAAAACAUCGUUAUCCAAUAUCAUUAAAAACCACACCGAAAUUUACACAGGUAGCACGUGACCGUGUUAGUGUCACCCACUGUACACAAGGCGUGUCGUAUAUGUAGUAUAGGUAUUUGAUGAGGCGGAAGCAUAUCCCGCUUCCAGCGAACGGAAAUAAGAAUCAUCCGUUCCAGCAUUUAUUCAAAGGGGGCACAGAGGAUUCACAUUGUUUAGAGAGAGUUUUUCUUAGUCACCAUUCCAUACUUGGGCAGUAUUGGCCUACGAUUUGGGCGACGUUUCAGGCUGGUCUAUUCUCCGUCCACUUUUCCCCGGCUAUUCUGUCCCAGCAUAGGCUCUUGAAAUAAACAAUGUUUACCGAGUAAAA
rnacentral:misc_RNA from 1 species